rnacentral:rRNA from 1 species
UGCCGGCGACCGGCGCACGGGUGAGUAACACGUAUGCGACCUGCCCCCGCAGGGGAUAACCGGGAGAAAUCCCGACUAAUACCGCGUAACGCCGCGGACCUGCAUGGGUCUGCGGCCAAAGGAAGCGAUUCCGGCGGGGGAUGGGCAUGCGGCGCAUUAGCUAGUCGGCGGGGUAACGGCCCACCGAGGCGACGAUGCGUAGGGGUUCUGAGAGGAAGGUCCCCCACACUGGUACUGAGACACGGACCAGACUCCUACGGGAGGCAGCAG